rnacentral:rRNA from 1 species
UACGAAGGGGGCUAGCGUUGCUCGGAUUUACUGGGCGUAAAGCGCACGUAGGCGGGUCGUUAAGUCGGGGGUGAAAACCCGGAGCUCAACUCCGGAACGGCCUUCGAUACUGGCGACCUCGAGUCCGGGAGAGGUGAGUGGAACUGCGAGUGUAGAGGUGAAAUUCGUAGAUAUUCGCAAGAACACCAGUGGCGAAGGCGGCUCACUGGCCCGGUACUGACGCUGAGGUGCGAAAGCGUGGGGAGCAAACAGG